UGUGGUAGUUUGAAAAUAAAUUACCUGACUUGCAAUGUAUUGAAAAUAAAUAACUCAGCAGGUCUAAUCGAAAGUAUGAGAUGGCACCAGAUUCUUCAUAAAUUCAUCUUUUUUUCCCAAAAAAAUCGAAAAAUCUUCCCAAUUUUUUUAAUAAUGAAAGUAUAAAUAUUAUUUAAAUAUACCUGAAAUGUCUGAAAAUUGGUUUCAUUUAACUUGAGGUAUAUUGUCUCAGGAAACCUUACCUCGCUUUUAUUUUAACAGGGCCGUAACUACAUUGAGACAAAUGCCUCGUGUAGGAAAUUUCAAAACCAAAC
rnacentral:lncRNA from 1 species